CCUACGGGGGGCAGCAGUGAGGAAUAUUGGUCAAUGGGCGCUAGCCUGAACCAGCCAAGUAGCGUGAAGGAUGACGGCCCUAUGGGUUGUAAACUUCUUUUGUAUGGGAGUAAAGAGCGGUACGUAUACUGCAUUGCAUGUACCUUAUGAAUAAGGAUCGGCUAACUCCGUGCCAGCAGCCGCGGUAAUACGGAGGAUCCGAGCGUUAUCCGGAUUUAUUGGGUUUAAAGGGAGCGUAGGCGGGUUGGUAAGUCAGUGGUGAAAGUUUGGGGCUCAACCCCAAACUUGCCGUUGAUACUGGCAUGCUAGAGUGGAGUAGAGGUAGGCGGAAUGCGUGGUGUAGCGGUGAAAUGCUUAGAUAUCACGCAGAACUCCGAUUGCGAAGGCAGCAUACCGGACUGUAACUGACGCUGAGGCACGAAAGCGUGGGUAUCAAACAGGAUUAGAUACCCGUGUAGUC
rnacentral:rRNA from 1 species